rnacentral:rRNA from 1 species
UACGGAGGGUGCAAGCGUUAUCCGGAUUCACUGGGUUUAAAGGGUGCGUAGGUGGGUCUGUAAGUCAGUGGUGAAAUCUCCGAGCUUAACUCGGAAACUGCCAUUGAUACUAUAGGUCUUGAAUUAUCUGGAGGUAAGCGGAAUAUGUCAUGUAGCGGUGAAAUGCUUAGAUAUGACAUAGGACACCAAUUGCGAAGGCAGCUUACUACGGAUAUAUUGACACUGAGGCACGAAAGCGUGAGGAUCAAACAGG